AUCUUUUCACGUGACCGGAGUGCUCACCUGUGCUCUUCAAUUGGCAAAAGGUCUAAGAAUUAACAUUUAUACUGACUCCAAAUAUGCCUUUCUGGUACUACAUGCCCAUGGAGUUAUUUGGAAGGAAAGGGAUUUGCUAUCAAGCCAUAACUCCCCAAUCAAAUAUGGGCCUGAAAUCAUGACCCUUCUUGAGGCUGUACACCUGCCCAAGGAGGUAGUGGUGAUUCACCUCAAAGGACAUCAAAAAGAUCUGACCUUAGAAUCUAAAGGAAACAACUUAGCAGACCAUGCAACCAAAGAGGCAGCAAAAGGUAAACAGAUAUUAAGUCUUAUACCAGUCUUAACUCCAAUGGGGUCCAUACUCCAGUCUAUUCAGACCAAGAGACUCAUAUUGCUCAGGAGCGAGGAUAUACUAAGACUACACAGGACUGGCUUGUUAACA